AAAAAAGUCCCACGAUACUUGUUAUUCAUGCUCUGAAGAAUUAUCUUUUCUCCUGUCCACACAAUUUUCUUCUACUUUAUGGGCUUAGCCUUGGCAGAAAUACAGAUCUUCAUUACAUCAGCUGAAUCUACAAGAACACUACAACCUUUUUAACUUUGUCUUGACAAAGCCUGCCAGAGGUAGUGAACUUACCUGCCAUUGGAAUUCUUUGAAUAUUCUUUUAAACUUUAUUUGUAUUAGAGCUGAUCUUGAUACCUACCUUGAUAUCUUCUCAUCUAGAAACCCCUAAAGAGGGCUUAGAUCCCUCUCUAUUUCCUUCCAACUUCCUCUUUGGGCCUGCUUCCUCUGCUUAUCAGAUUUGGUUGAUGGUAAAUGUAAGAAUAACCGGGAUGUUUAUACCCGCAAUUCAGGGAGGCAGAAUAAUUGAUGGAAGCAAUGGAGAUGUUGCAGGGGACCAAUAUCAUCAUGAUCUUGUACCUACCGACAUGUUCGUCCUGCGUUCCAAUCCAUUCAAUCAUUUAAUGCACUCUUAUCAUUUGCACGAACAACCAAGACGAAUUUAUCGUAUAUUUUCUUGCAGGAUAAACGUCCCGUUUGGAAACGCAGCCGGCUGCAUUUCUAAAAAAUUUUAAAUUUUUUUUUAUUAAAAUUUAAUAUAAUUUAUAUGUUUUAGAUCGAUUUGAUGUGUUGAUGUCAAAAAUAAUUUUUAAAAAAUAAAAAAAUAUUAUUGGCAUGCA